rnacentral:lncRNA from 1 species
UAUAUAUGUUAGUGUUAGAACAACAACUGGUUUCAAAGGAGUAAAUAAAUUAUAAUCACGAACAAUAGACAAACAAAGUUCGGCCAAUUGUGCUUACGUCUCCUGCUACUGAGUAGUUGUAGUUAUGUUUUAUUUUGAUAGUGAAACGAUUAGGAUUUACAUUGUUACAACUAAUAUUUAAAUCCUCCGAUCCAUAUUACAACAUUACCUCCAAACGAUCUCACUUUCUCCGCUUGUUCGUCUCUGCCCACUUGUCAGUACCUAUGAGCCAUACCGAACAGUUAAUAAUGUGUGGUAGUUCUAGAAUGAGUCACACAUUGCAGAGAGACCUUAACAACUGCUAAACAAUAUGGACCACCAGGAGAACUUAACACCACAUCUCCACCAAAACUCUUAAGGCAUUAGAUAUAUAACUCACCUCUUUUAUAUAUUCAACAUUUAACUCAUUCAUAGUUGAUGUGACACUAACCACUCGCACUUGAACCAAACACCUAAUAAGUGGGAUUUAUAGGUCUAGUGCAUGUUUUCAUCUAAUGAACUGGUAUGUUGGGAUAAGCUUUCCUUUCGGGUUUAUCUGGCUUUCAAUGAGAGGCCGACAUCACAGAAAGAUACUAAUGGAGCGUUCAAUCAAACAGGUGUAGGGUUCUGACAGGGAAGUUUAGUAAGGUGUCACCCGGUGAAGUAUUGUAGAGUGCUUUUCCAUCUAUUGAGCUAGUCUUUUGAGAUGUGUUGUUAUUUUGAACCUAUGUUUUAACUAUGAAAUAUUUUAGUGGAUUUUUUACUUUCAUAAUAAAGCUCUAAAAUGCUGAGUUUUCAAUGUAAAGUCUUAAGCUAUACAUAUGGACUUUGGUACUUGUGUAAUGUGAUGUGUUGCAAAUUACCUUGAAAACGUGGAAAAACAGCAAAAGCUGCUGUUUUGGUGCCCCGAGCGAAAUUCUGGUGCCCCGGGCGAAAUUGUUCGUGAUUAUUAUUGCUAUUUCCACGUUUUGAUUGCUUAUUCGAUUUGCUCCACACAUCAAGUUUAUUGGUGUGAUAUUCAAUCCGAAUUCACAACAUGAUGUGUGAGCUUUGGUGUUGGCACCAACAUCUAGUUAACUUGGAUUAUAUUUCCUUAUUUAUUAUUAUGUUUGUUAAACUAUUUGUCUAUUGAUUUGAGUUUUGUGAUAUGCAGAAAAGAGUGCAAACUAUGCAGUGCAGAUCAGCAAUGUAGAAAUAUUACCUGAUCCUGUCGUCAGAGGAGAGCCAUUCACCUUCAAAAUCAAAGCUCAUACUGGUCUUACUU